rfam:Rhodoferax antarcticus ANT.BR grfa_new.contig.17_1, whole genome shotgun sequence.
UCUGGCUUGUCGGGGCGCCCAAGACGAAAGUCGGGGCUGAGACCACUUCUGUGGAACCCGCUGAACCUGAUCGGGGUCAUGCCCGCGUAGGGAACAACGCAAUUGGCACC